UACGUAGGGUGCAAGCGUUAAUCGGAAUUACUGGGCGUAAAGCGUGCGCAGGCGGUGAUGUAAGACAGGUGUGAAAUCCCCGGGCUUAACCUGGGAACUGCAUUUGUGACUGCAUUGCUGGAGUGCGGCAGAGGGGGAUGGAAUUCCGCGUGUAGCAGUGAAAUGCGUAGAUAUGCGGAGGAACACCGAUGGCGAAGGCAAUCCCCUGGGCCUGCACUGACGCUCAUGCACGAACGCGUGGGGAGCAAACAGG
rnacentral:rRNA from 1 species